GCCCCCUUCGUCUAUCGGCUAGGACACCAGGUUCUCAUCCUGGGAAGAGCGGUCCGACUCCGCUAGGGGGUGCCA
rnacentral:tRNA from 1 species